rnacentral:rRNA from 1 species
AGGGUUUGAUUCUGGCUCAGGAUGAACGCUAGCUACAGGCUUAACACAUGCAAGUCGAGGGGCAGCAUGUUGGUUGCUUGCAACCGAUGAUGGCGACCGGCGCACGGGUGAGUAACGCGUAUCCAACCUACCCUUGUCCAUCGGAUAACCCGUCGAAAGGCGGCCUAACACGAUAUGCGGUUCACAGCAGGCAUCUAACGUGAACGAAAUGUGAAGGAGAAGGAUGGGGAUGCGUCUGAUUAGCUUGUUGGCGGGGUAACGGCCCACCAAGGCAACGAUCAGUAGGGGUUCUGAGAGGAAGGUCCCCCACAUUGGAACUGAGACACGGUCCAA